rnacentral:SRP_RNA from 1 species
UAAAAAUGUGAAUCUGAAGCUCUGGAAACAGCAUCAGAUUGGAACUACAGAUUUGAGAGCCUUGAGAAUUUAUUACAUCACUCAUGAAGAACACGGUGAGAGAACAGAGAACAUUUAGGAGGGAACUGUAAGGAACAAAAACAUUUGCUGGGUGGGCAGAAGAGAGAGCCUGGGAGGAAAUAUCAGGGGCUGUGAACAAGAACCAGGGAGAAGAAACGUUCAGGGAGGAAACAGCAGUCACAAGUGACAGAGAUUGGUGGUAAAUUACAUCACCUAUGUCAGAAAGGGUCCCUUAGACCUGCCAAUUAGGAGGCUUGGGUAUCGUAGCCUUAGCUAGAAUAGUUUCAGUGGAUUGGUGGGCUAUGGACUGAAGACAGAAGGUUAAGAAGCAAAUGUAGCAAUUGUAGAACAUGGUUUCAAGAAGUGCAGCCAUGAAAACAACAGACAGAUUUCAUUUAGAAAGGCAAGGUCAAAGGAGUUUUUUUACUUUUUUUUUUUUUUUUUUUUUAGAAGAAAGGCAGCUUGGAAUCUGUAUAAAUGAAAGAGAGAGAUAGAAUGGGUAAAAAUGAUUGAUGGAAGAAUUUUGACCUACUGGGUUUGAGGUAGGAGGGGAAAACAGAAGGGUGCUCUUCUCUGAAGGUGUAAAGAUAAAUUUAGAGCGGACAGAGCAGCAAAGAGUUGAAAAGUUUUUGUCUGUUGGCCUUCAAUUUAUCCAUGAAGGAAGGAGCAACGUUAUCUGCUACAAGGACGGAGGUGGCGGGGAAAGUCUGGACUGGUUUUUAGGAGACAAGGGGUGGGGGGUGAGGGAAAGACUAUAGAUAAGAGGACAAACAGAAGGUCUGCUUUCGCAGAUCUACUAUGGUCGAAAAUUAUUUUUUCUUUCCUCCCCUCUAUCCCUUCCUAACCUAAGCUUGUCGCAAAAAAGGCUUCAAGCUGCCAAAUCCAAAUUUUUCCACCAAUAUACCCCGAUACUAGUUUUUUCUCCAAAAACAACGGGCAACUAACACGCAGGGCAGAGAAAACAAACAGUUGCCCCAGGCUUCCUUCGUUCGAAUAGUGAAGACUGAGCUGGCCUCGGCACUGUGCAGACUCCCAACCUGUGCUACUGUGGGUUAUUCUCCUUAUAGUGCAGUCACCUCCUAAAUGCUUGCUGAAAAUAAUGGAAGACUUCGAGCCAGAUGUUUGCCUCUUAAGUAACGUCCCCCAAAAGAUGCAGCACAUAUUUAAGGCCUGCUGAAGCAAGCAACGCUGACGGACCAGGUUAUUGCGUUUUUCUCUCGCUGCGUGUCCGGACGCCACACUAUGAGCAUUAAGCGCAUACUGACCAAUUUCUGUUAAGCAGGAACGUGGUGUUCUGAUCAAAACACAGGGAGCCGCGGCCGCAACCGCGCCGAUAAGCUUCCGGGGUCCCAACCCUGUAAGGCAGAACGGCUGCCCAGCUCGGAUGACGCCACACUAACGUAGCCUCCAGACCGCCCAGUGUGGGUGUGUCCAAGCUCACGUCGCCCGGCGUGGCCCCCCCGCUCCCCAAUGACGUAACUGCCCUGCAGCUUCUAGUAGCUUUUCGCAGCGUCUCCGACCGCCGGGCGCGGUGGCGCGUGCCUGUAGUCCCAGCUACUCGGGAGGCUGAGGUGGGAGGAUCGCUUGAGCCCAGGAGUUCUGGGCUGUAGUGCGCUAUGCCGAUCGGGUGUCCGCACUAAGUUCGGCAUCAAUAUGGUGACCUCCCGGGAGCGGGGGACCACCAGGUUGCCUAAGGAGGGGUGAACCGGCCCAGGUUGCCUAAGGAGGGGUGAACCGGCCCAGGUCGGAAACGGAGCAGGUCAAAACUCCCGUGCUGAUCAGUAGUGGGAUUGCGCCUGUGAAUAGCCACUGCACUCCAGCCUGGGCAACAUAGUGAGAC